GAGUGUAUAGAGAUGAAUGUCACAAAACAUCAGAGUAUUUAUUACAUAGCGGAAGACUUAUUACAAAAUAAAAUAGUAAAUAUAACACGAACUAAGGAUCGUCGGCGCCAAUGUCAACUGAGAAACGCCACCUAGAUCAGAUCAUACUCCUCGCCUUGUGGCUCCUCCUGAACCACCUGCUCCUCUCAUGUGGGGGUGAGACAGCAAGGGUGAGCUCACACAUGAUCAUAGCUCAACAAGCUGUGGGAAACCAGUGGACAUAAACUCACAAAGAUGUGAGUUCAUGUGAUGUGUAAGGCUAAUCAAUGACAGGGGUUUAAGCUGAGCAUUGCUUUUAAAUAGUUGGUCAAAAUUUUAUUAGCAAUUACUAAGUGUAAGUAAAUACCAAACCAUAAGUAAAGUAAUUGAACAAAAUUAAUAAUAAACCCAUGCAAUGCAAAUGACAAAAUUGAAUUUAAGUUCCAUAAUUUAAACAUCAGAGAGUCCUAAACUGCUCAUGACCGCGAGCACGGCUAGUAUACCAGUUUUACACUCUACAGAGGUUGUACCCUUUACCCACAAGUCAUGUUACCCAUCUGCCAAGGGAUCGCGACUUCCCAUACACCUCUACCGAGGAAGCGAGGCAGGGUAACACUACGAGGCCUUUAUAAAGUUUCACUAGCUUCAGAAAACCCGCUACAGUUUAUAGGAAGCUCCAAUGCAGGGUUCUUGUCUGACCGCCAUCGCAGCAAAAUCAACCAAGGACCCCCCUACACUGACCACUCCCCUACUGCCCUUGCCCCUUUCGGGUAAGGUAGACCUCCACUAGCUUUCCUAGUUAAUCAGCCAAGGGCGUCCCAUUAAACCCUUGUGGUGGCACGUGUUACUCAAGUUAAGCUCUAUGUUCCAAUUAACAUUAAUGAUCUCAACAUGAACAUAAAUAGAAUAACAAAAAGAAUUGGAACAUAGAGGUAAUAAAUGAUUAUCCCAACACCACAUAAAGCAAUAGCAAACUACCCAAGUGAUUCAGGGGUAAACAAGGUAAUGAGAUAAACAAUCUAGGGUGACCUAUUGGGUCCCAUCAAAAUUAACCUAUGCAUGAGUAAAUGAUAUUAAAGAACAUUAUUGGGUAAAAAGUGGUCAAGGGCACAACUUGCCUUCAAUGAGCUCCUGCUCAGCUACUUCAA
rnacentral:lncRNA from 1 species